GUGGGGAAUAUUGGACAAUGGGCGCAAGCCUGAUCCAGCCAUGCCGCGUGAGUGAUGAAGGCCUUAGGGUUGUAAAGCUCUUUCAGUGGGGACGAUAAUGACGGUACCCACAGAAGAAGCCCCGGCUAACUUCGUGCCAGCAGCCGCGGUAAUACGAAGGGGGCUAGCGUUGUUCGGAUUUACUGGGCGUAAAGCGCACGUAGGCGGGUCGUUAAGUCAGGGGUGAAAUCCUGGAGCUCAAAUCCAGAACUGCCUUUGAUACUGGCGACCUAGAGUCCGGAAGAGGUGAGUGGAACUCCUAGUGUAGAUGUGGAAUUCGUAGAUAUUAGGAAGAACACCAGUGGCGAAGGCGGCUCACUGGUCCGGUACUGACGCUGAGGUGCGAAAGCGUGGGGAGCAAACAGGAUUAGAUACCCCGGUAGUCC
rnacentral:rRNA from 1 species